CUAAAUUGUUUAAAAAAUUAAAAAAAUAUAAAAUAAGGUUUUUUAAUUUUAGGAAAAAAAAAAACUCAAAAGUAUUGAUGUCAAUAUAUAUUUUUUUAAUAUUUAUACAAUUUUCACUUGCUGUUGAUAUUUAUUAUUUUUGUUUUGUUUUUUUUUUAAAUGGUGUAUUUAAAGCUUCAAUUUUUUAUAAGGUAAAUGAAAAAAAUAUAUUUUCAAAAAAAAAAAAAAAAAAAAUAUAAUUAUUUUAUUUUCAUGGCUUUAACUGAAUUAAUUGUUCCUUUUUUUUUUUUUUUUUUUUUUUAUAUUCUUAAAAUUUUCAAAAACAGUACAACAUAACAAUAUAUGCAUCCCUUAAUAUUUAUUAAACAAUAGAUCGUACAUAAUAUAUCAUACACAUUGUAUCGUACGUGUUGUACAUGUUAUAUCGUACAUAUUGCGUCAUACACAUUGCGUAAUACACAUUGUGUUGUACACAUUGUGUUGUACACAUUGUGUCGUAUAUGCUAUAUCGCACAUUUUAUAUCAUAAAUAUUAUAUUGUACAUGUUAUAUUCGACAUGUGGUAUCGCACAUCUCAGAUAUUAUUAUUUAUUACAUACCAUUUAUUACAUACCAUUUAUUACAUACCAUUUAUUACUUACUAUUUAUCACUUACAAUUUAUUAUUUACCACUUAUUACUUACCACUUAUCACUUACCACUCAUUAUUUACCAUUUAUUACUUAAUAUUUAUCACUUAUAUUUUAUUACAUAUUAUUUCGUACAUAAAAAAGUUACUACAUUAUAUGGUGCAUAUAAUGUCUUAUAUUCUACACCAUAUACGUUCAUCUGAGUCUGAAUAUUGCGGAAAACAUGAUAAACGCAUAAGCUUCGUUGAAAUGCUAAUGCUAAAUAAUUUAGCAUAUUCUAAUAGUAAUAUAUAUAAAGAUAAACAAAAGUUAUGUCUUAAAAAUUUAGAUAAAGAAAUAAGAUACAAUUUUUUUUGUAAUUUAAAAAAUAUAUACAGUAUCAAAGAUAAUUACUUUAUGAAAGAAUUAGAACAAUUUUAUAUGUUCUUUAAUUCUAAAUAUAAUUUUUUUUUAAAAAGAAAAGAGGCAAACUUAUGCAUUAAAGAAUUUAAUUCUAUAUUUGAUAAACACUUGUAUGCAAACUGCAAUUUUUGCUCAUUUCCUAAAUUUGGGAAUUUAAGAGCCAUUAAAAAUUGUGACAAAGGCACACACGAAGAAAAUUGUAAAAGCAACUGCGCAAGCAGUAAUCUACUGAUUAAUGAAGAUGCCUGUCACGAAAAACAAAACACAACUAUCAUUUAUACAUCUUCUUCAAACGAAACCAAGUGCAAUUUACAAAGUGAUAAAAAACUUGCUUCAGCUUAUAAAGCAUUUCAAUGUAAUAAGAAAAUUGAUUUAUAUAAAAGGAAAAAGNNNNNNNNNNNNNNNNNNNNNNNNNNNNNNNNNNNNNNNNNNNNNNNNNNNNNNNNNNNNNNNNNNNNNNNNNNNNNNNNNNNNNNNNNNNNNNNNNNNNAAAAAAUGCACAUUGAAUAGCAAUUGCAAUGCUGAUAAUACAGCAAUGUGUCAUGAAAAUAAUAGCCUAUUAAAAUUAACCCAAAGUGAGUGUAAUAAAUUACCAAUUGAGGAACAACUAACAUUAUCAAAAAAAUUAAAUUUAGAUCAUUACUACAAUAAAAAAAAAAUUGAUUUAUUAUUUUUAUUAGAUAAUUUCAAUAAAUAUACAAAUAUACGCGUAUUAAAAAAUGAUGACAGUUGCUUUAUUAACGACGAUUUAGAUAACAGGUCAACCAUGUCAGAACAUAUAGAAUAUAAUGUAAUAAACACAAUAUCAAAUAAAAAAAAUGUUAAUAUUUUUUCUUAUGAUGAUAUUGAUAUAUAUAAAAUAAAGAAUAGGAAAAGAAAAAAAAGCGAAAGAAACUACUUAUGUAAAAAAAAAGUAGUUACUUUUUUUAGUAAGUGUAAUAAUUUAUGUCAUACAACCUUUAAGAAAGAGCAAAAUUUUUAUAAGAUAAAACCUAAAUUUAAUACUAAAUGUGCUAUAAAUAAAAAUAAAAAAAUUCCACUUGAUGAUAUAAAAUAUUUGUAUAAAGAAGAAGAUGUUAGCAAAAAAAAUAAGCUUUUGUUACCGAUAAAAGACAUAAAGCAUAUUGUAAAAAGUAAAAAAAAAAAUUCUUGUAUUAAUAAUUUACAAGAUACAACAUCAUUGGAAAACUAUAGGAAUAACCAAUUUUUUAAUAAUUAUAGCCCAUCUUUUAUAUUUAAAAACAUUUUUAACAAACAGAAUAAUAGACUACAUCAAAACCAAAAUAGUUCAAAACGAUAUAAAAAUAAUAUAAAAUGUUUAAUGAACAAGUACGACCUUUUUAUUGACACUCAUAAAACCUGUAACCUAAUUUAUAAUGAAAAAAAAAUAAACCGCUGUGCUUUUUUAUCUAAUCAUGAGGUUAAUCGUUUUUAUUCUUUACAAAGUUUUACCAAUUAUAUAGACCAAAAAGAUAAAAUAAAAGAUAUGGGAAAAACGACAAAAAUAGACCAAACCAAUGAUUAUAAAACCGAAUAUAUAAAAGAAAAAAACAUGUAUUCUACCAUAAAUAUUUUUAAUAAACAAAAAAAACUAUUUAGAAAUGAAAACACUAAUAAAAUAAGUUUUUCAUCGAAUUAUAUAAAAAAUAAAAAUAAUCAUACAAAUUUAGAAUUUACAAGGAACAACAUUUUUCAAAACGAUAUAACUAACCAAUUAUCAACUAAAAAUAAAGUUUCAUAUAGUAAUACUUCCAAUCCAACAAAAGAAAGUAGCAGUAACAGAUAUAACUACUUAAAAAAAAAUAGGGAAGUUUUAAAUGAAAAUCAAACUACAAAUACAAAAAAAAUAUAUAGUGACAUUGGUAUAGUACCAUAUAAUAAAGAAAGGGCUGAUUGUAUAAUGAGCAAUAAUAUAUACAACUUACAUUUGAAUGCUAAUAAUGGUAAUGACAGUAAUGGUAAUGCUAAUGGUAAUGGUAAUGCUAAUGGUAAUGGUAAUGCUAAUGGUAAUGGUAAUGCUAAUGGUAAUGCUAAUGGUAAUGCUAAUGCUAAUGCUAAUGGUAAUGCUAAUGGUAAUGCUAAUGCUAAUGGUAAUGCUAAUGCUAAUGGUAAUGGUAAUGCUAAUGCUAAUGGUAAUGCUAAUGCUAAUGGUAAUGCUAAUGCUAAUGGUAAUGCUAAUGCUAAUGGUAAUGCUAAUGCUAAUGCUAAUGGUAAUGCUAAUGCUAAUGCUAAUGCUAAUGCUAAUGCUAAUGCUAAUGAUAGUGAUGGUAAUGAAAACUUAAUAAAUAUAUGUACUUCAAAAAAAAAUGACGAUAAAAAAGGUAAUAUAAAUACAUAUUUAACAAAAAAUAUCACUUAUAACAGUAACGACUUAGAUAUAAAACAAAAAAAAACAAACAGUUUUAGCGCAUUGAACAACACAAAUAUUAAUGGAGAAAUUAAUACAACUACUUUAACGCAUGAUGAAAUUUAUAGAAAAAAAAAAAAAAAAAUUGCUGUAAAAGUAAAGCUAUUUUGGAGUAAAAGAAGAACUUUUUUUGAGCACAAAAUUUUGAAAAAAAUGACAACUAAAAAAAUUAAAAAAUAUUAUACGAAAAAUCAUUUGAAAAAAAAAAUACAUACAAGUUGUUAUGUAGAUAAAACAAAUUUAAAUAAAUAUUCUGGAUCUUUCCAUAACAAUCAUAUCGGUCUUUCUAGUUUUUUCAAUUGUGAAAUUAAUAAAAAAUCAUGUACUAAUUAUUAUGAUGCUAACUCACGUGAAGACAGCGUUUUGAAAAUUAUGAACCCUUGCGAAAAACUGGAAAAUUAUCAUAAAAUGAUAAAUAAUAUCCAUAAUACAAAUAAAAAUAGUGAAGUGAAUAUGGGGGUAAAAUCCUUACAAAACGAGUGCAACUAUAAAAAUGUUGUAUAUUUACAUAAUAAAAUACUUAAUGGAACUGUUCAAAAUCAUAUAAAACAUUUUAAUAACAACAAUUUAUAUAUUAUGCAAAAUAAAAUAGAAAACAAAAUCGAAAAUAAUCUAAAUGGAUGUCUAAAUACAAGUUUAUUUAACAAUGGAAAUUAUCUUAUGAAUAAAAAAGAAAACAAUGGGAAUAACUGUUUACAUGAUAUACAUAAUUUAUGUAAUAUGGUUUAUAAAAAUUCUCAAAAUAUAAAUAACAAAAUUAAUAUACUUACAGAUAAAUGUAUUAAAAAUAACAAUGAAACCAUUCAAGCUUAUAUCGUAAAUACUGAUAUCAAUCGCCAAUUUUCAAUGACAAACGACUCAUACCAAAACCAAUGUCAUAAUGAUAAUUAUCUUACUAAAAAUAUUUAUCCUAUACCAAGCCUGAACCCUAAUUCAACUCUAAGUUCAAGCUCAACAAAUUUAAAGCUUAAUUCAACUCUAGAUUCAAGCACAACAAAUUUGAACCCUAAUUCAACCCUAGGUUCUAGUUCAAUAGUUUUGAACCCUAAUUCAACCCUAGGUUCUAAUUCAAUAGUUUUGAAUCCUAAUUCAACCCUAGGUUCUAAUUCAAUAGUUUUGAACCCUAAUUCNNNNNNNNNNCCUAAUUCAACCCUAGGUUCUAAUUCAAUAGUUUUGAACCCUAAUUCAACCCUAGGUUCUAAUUCAAUAGCUUUGAACUCUAAUUCAACCCUAGGUUCUAAUUCAAUAGUUUUGAACCCUAGUUCAACUGUAAGUUCUAGCUCAACACAUUUGAAUCAUAAUUCAACCAUAAGUUCUAGUUCAACAAGUUUGAACCCUAAUUCAAUUCUUAAUACAUAUACAAACAAUUGCUAUCAAUUAUCAAAUGAUAAUAAAAGUAAUUGCAAGUUAAUAGAUGAAAAUCAUGCCA
ensembl:lncRNA